UACAAAUAUAACAUUUUGAUGCGCUAUACCUAUAAAAUAAAUAAGACCCUUGAUAGUGAUUGUAACCAGUUUAUGAAAAUAUAUUUCAAAAAUGCAAAUUUAUUUAAAAAAAUGUGCAAAUGCAUCAAAGUAUUUAGUGAUGGUGAUCACUCUAAUGAGAAGAAAAAAAAUCACAGAAAAUGCUUAAAGGGACACUAAGCAUCCAGAUCACUUCAGCUAAUUGAAGUGGUCUAGGUGCUGUGACCCCUUUGCACUCAGUGCUGCAAAGUGAAAUAUUGCAGUUCCAG